GACACGACUCUCGGCAAUGGAUAUCUCGGCUCUCGCAUCGAUGAAGAGCGCAGCGAAAUGCGAUACGUGGUGCGAAUUGCAGAAUCCCGUGAACCAUCGAGUCUUUGAACGCAAGUUGCGCCCGAGGCCAACCGGCCAAGGGCACGCCUGCCUGGGCGUCAAGC
rnacentral:rRNA from 1 species